rnacentral:rRNA from 1 species
AGCGGAGGAAAAGAAACCAACAGGGAUUGCCUCAGUAACGGCGAGUGAAGCGGCAAAAGCUCAAAUUUGAAAUCCUUCGGGAGUUGUAAUUUGUAGGUUGGGAGACCCCGCGGCUAGUGGCACCAAGUCCCUUGGAACAGGGCGCCUUAGAGGGUGAGAGCCCCGUAGGUACCACAAUACCGUCUUGUGUCUCCUCUCCAAAGAGUCGAGUUGUUUGGGAAUGCAGCUCAAAGUGGGUGGUAAAUUCCAUCUAAAGCUAAAUACCGGCGAGAGACCGAUAGCGAACAAGUACAGUGAUGGAAAGAUGAAAAGCACUUUGAAAAGAGAGUGAAACAGUACGUGAAAUUGUUGAAAGGGAAGGGCUUGCAAGCAGACACGGCCUUCGUGCCGGGCCAGCAUCGGUUGCUAGGGGUGGAUAAGGAACAAGGAAUGUAGCUCCUCGGAGUAUUAUAGCCUUGCGCGAUACACCCACUGGCGACCGAGGCCUGCGGUAUUCUUUACCUAGGAUGCUGGCGUAAUGGUUGCAAGCCGCCCGUCUUAG